rnacentral:tRNA from 1 species
GGGGUUGUAGCUCAGUGGCAGAGCACUCACCUAGCAUGUGUGAGGCACUGGGUUCCAUCCUAGCAACACAU